rnacentral:rRNA from 1 species
CUGGAGGUAUCAGAAGUGCGAAUGCUGACAUAAGUAACGAUAAAGCGGGUGAAAAGCCCGCUCGCCGGAAGACCAAGGGUUCCUGUCCAACGUUAAUCGGGGCAGGGUGAGUCGACCCCUAAGGCGAGGCCGAAAGGCGUAGUCGAUGGGAAACGGGUUAAUAUUCCCGUACUUGGUGUUACUGCGAAGGGGGGACGGAGAAGGCUAUGUUGGCCGGGCGACGGUUGUCCCGGUUUAAGCGUGUAGGUGUGUGUUCCAGGUAAAUCCGGUUCACUUUAACACUGAGGCGUGACGACGAGGCACUACGGUGCUGAAGCAACAAAUGCCCUGCUUCCAGGAAAAGCCUCUAAGCAUCAGGUAACAUCAAAUCGUACCCCAAACCGACACAGGUGGUCAGGUAGAGAAUACCAAGGCGCUUGA